rnacentral:rRNA from 1 species
UACGGAGGAUCCGAGCGUUAUCCGGAUUUAUUGGGUUUAAAGGGUGCGUAGGUGGAUUGGUAAGUCGGCGGUGAAAUUUUGCAGCUCAACUGUAAAAGUGCCUUCGAAACUGGUUUCCUUGAGUGUGGAUGAAGUAGGCGGAAUUUGUGGUGUAGCGGUGAAAUGCAUAGAUAUCACGAGGAACUCCGAUUGCGCAGGCAGCUUACUAAACCAUAACUGACGCUCAGGCACGAAGGCGUGGGGAUCAAACAGGAUUAGAUACCCCCGUAGUCCCU